rfam:Triticum aestivum genome assembly, contig: Triticum_aestivum_CS42_TGACv1_scaffold_158005_2DL
CAUUGCUCAGUUGGUAAAGCACGAGGCUCUUAACCUUGUGGAUGUGGGUUCAAGCCCUGCGAUGA